AGGGUGGAAAGUAGUGAUGUAAAAGUGGAAUCAGGUUAAGGAGGGUCAAUGGGGAUUUCAGAUCAAGGGGACCAGGACUGAAAUGCUCAGAGAACUUCAGCUCUUCUCACUGAGUGACCCCAGAAGGGUUAUUUGGCGAUGGUUUCGAUGGUCCAAGGCUUUUGAAAAGCUACCCAGAUGAGUGUCUGAUGCUCUUUCUUGUAUCCUCCACUGCCUGACCAUGCUGGCAAACGCAGGGGCCCACCCUGCCAUGACUGAGAGGCUCCUCUGUGAUACUUAUCACCCUCCCAUCUCCUCCGCACCUACCCUGACCACCUCAGGUCAUGGAACCAGCAACACCAGUGGGUAAGAGCCAGAGGGAGCGUCAACUCUAUUAACCUGCUGCCCUCCUGAUGGACAGGUCCAGGUGCUGCUCCUAUAUGUCCUCCUGCUCCCUGACGUUUUAUUUGGGGGGGAAUUGCUCCAGAGCCUACCGCUGGAGGUGCCAGGGAUCAAACUCGGCGUCUCAUGUGCGCAAGGUAUGCCCCUGUGCCCUGCGCCAGCUCCCUGGCCUGCUCAGAGAUUCCUUUACUGCGGCUGCUGUCAGCCCUUUGGGAAAGGGACCCUGAAGGCUAGUGGGCCUGGCUCUCAUAUCACAGGAAAUAGCAGCCAG